GGCAGCCCGGCAGCUUUUUUUAGGACCACAGGAAGCCCAAAAUUCUAUUGUAACUAUGCAUUUUUUAGCAGCACCCAUCAAGACUGUUUGUGAUUUAUUUUAUUAYGUAYAAACAUAUUUGGAUUGCAUGUUAAAAAUAGAGCGUUUGGGUUGUGUGGAUGAUGCAUCUCUGUAAAUUGUCAAAAGAAGUAAUUUGAUAUAUUCAUAAAGUAGUGUUAUAUCUGAUAUUUAUAAACCCCUACUUUAGCACCAAACAAUAUAAGACAGUCAAUUUUUAAAUAUUUAAUUUUUAUUUUCAAAAUGCAGGCAUAAACAGUUUGACCUGAGAACCUAACAUAUGAAAGUUUAUCCCAAAAGAGAAAUGAAAACAAUGAAAUAUAAACAUAUGAAUUCACCUCAUGCUCGAAAAGUCAAGAAAGACAAAUCUGCUGACUCAUCAAAACAACUGGCUCAAAUAAAUGCACAGGAAGCCCAAUAUUAGUUACAAUAGAAGUUUGGGCUCCUGCCGUGCUAACAAGAUAGCUGUAGUGCUGCCAUUGUCAGCUAAGAUUCUUUCAAAGGAUUUCUGGCAAUAAAUACUGUGAAAAAGAUUGAUAUUUCAGGGAAUUUAUGAGAAAUAAAGGUAGGCCAUAGGUAGGGCCAUGGCCUGAGCCAGGCCUAGGUCCAGGUUUUCGGCACACUCGUUAGCAAACAUGAAGCUGUAAGCGCUAUACAGGGACCACCAAGCCCAAUUUUUACGGUCUAUUCAGAAAUUUCCAGUAUGGCGUGGGUAUACUUACUUUAUACUUUUAUUCAAGAAGUCAAUACAAAAUACAAUUACUGUACACUUAACCUGCAAAUAGCUAUGGCUAGUUGAGGCAGGUUAAUGUGGUUAUAAGAAUACAAUGUGGUUAUUAAUAAUUUGUAAUAUAUAAAUUAAUGAAUAAUUUGUAAUAUAUAAGUGUAUGCGCGUAUAUGUCUUUGGAAAAAAGGAAGGUUAUAGGAAUACAAUAUUUACAACUACUGAAUAAAAGAUUUAUAAUGAA